AACGUUGUUGCAGUUAAAAAGCUCGUAGUUGAAGUGAAGUGUGAACCUUCUGGAUUUUCGUUUGAAUUUCUUGCUGGUUCGCACUCUUUCCAAAUAGUUUGCAUGGGUAUUCACUUAUCUGUGUAUUGCAUUUGGUCAUUUACUGUGAGAAAAUUAGAGUGUUCAAAGCAUACGUUUGUUUGAAUACAUUAGCAUGGAAUAAUUCGAAAAGGCUUUCAUGUUCGAUUUGAUUGGUUUGUUCGUGAAGGCAAGAUUAAAAGGGACAGUGGGGGGUAUUCAUAUUCAAUAGUCAGAGGUGAAAUUCUCGGAUUUAUGGAAGAUGAACUAGUGCGAAAGCAUUUACCAAGGAUGUUUUCAUUAAUCAAGAACGAAAGUUAGGGGAUCGAAGAGGCUUAGAUACCCUCGUAGUCUUAACUAUAAACGAUACCGACUAGGGGUUAGUGGAGGUCAUUUGUCUCUACUAGUACCUUAUGAGAAAUCAAAGUCUUUGGGUUCCGGGGGGAGUAUGGUCGCAAGGCUGAAACUUAAAGGAAUUGACGGAAGGGCACCACCAGGAGUGGAGCCUGCGGCUUAAUUUGACUCAACACGGGGAAACUUACCAGGUCCAGACAUAGGAAGGAUAGACAGAACAAAGCUCUUUCUUGAUUCUAUGGGUGGUGGUGCAUGGCCGUUCUUAGUUGGUGGAUUGAUUUGUCAGGCUAAUUCCGAUAACGAACGAGACCUCCGCCUACUAAAUAGAAAGUUGUAAUUGGUUAUAACUUUCUUCUUAGAGGGACACUAUACAUGAAGUGUAGGGAAGCUGGAGGCAAUAACAGGUCUGUGAUGCCCUUAGAUGUCCUGGGCUGCACGCGCGCGACACUGAUUGAUUCAACAAGUGGCUGAUUUGAAAGAAUUGGC
rnacentral:rRNA from 1 species